rnacentral:lncRNA from 1 species
AAAGAAAUGAUUGAGUUUAUGAGUCUAGAUCCUACAAGCAAGCAGAUCUAUCACAUAAUUUUAAAUGAAGAUUUAUCUAUUAUAGUAAUUUAUUCUAAUAACGAAAAAAAAACUUUGGAU